UGGGUUGUGGCUCAGUGGUAGAGUGCUUGCCUAGCACACAUGAGGCUUUGGGUUCCAUCCCCAGCACCACAU
rnacentral:tRNA from 1 species